rnacentral:rRNA from 1 species
UACGUAGGCGGACUAAUAAGUCAGUGGUGAAAUCUCUCGGCUCAACCGGGAAACUGCCAUUGAUACUGUUAGUCUUGAGUUCGGUUGAGGUAGGCGGAAUGUGUAAUGUAGCGGUGAAAUGCUUAGAUAUUACACAGAACACCAAUUGCGUAGGCAGCUUACUAGACCGACACUGACGCUGAGGCACGAAAGCGUGGGUGGCGAACAGGAUUAGAUACCCUGGUAGUCC